rnacentral:rRNA from 1 species
UACGGAGGGUGCGAGCGUUAAUCGGAAUUACUGGGCGUAAAGGGUGCUUAGGUGGUUUAUUAAGUUAUCUGUGAAAUCCCUGGGCUUAACCUGGGCAGGUCAGAUAAGACUGGUAGACUCGAGUAUGGGAGAGGGUAGUGGAAUUUCCGGUGUAGCGGUGAAAUGCGUAGAGAUCGGAAGGAACACCAGUGGCGAAGGCGGCUACCUGGCCUAAUACUGACACUGAGGCACGAAAGCGUGGGGAGCAAACAGGAUUAGAUACCCUGGUAGUCCACGCUGUAAACGAUGUCAACUAGCUGUUGGUCACAUGAAUGUGAUUAGUGGCGAAGCUAACGCGAUAAGUUGACCGCCUGGGGAGUACGAUCGCAAGAUUA